rnacentral:rRNA from 1 species
GAUGAACGCUGGCGGCGUGCCUAAUACAUACGAGUCGAGCGAACAGACGAGGAGCUUGCUCCUCUGACGUUAGCGGCGGACGGGUGAGUAACACGUGGAUAACCUACCUAUAAGACUGGGAUAACUUCGGGAAACCGGAGCUAAUACCGGAUAAUAUAUUGAACCGCAUGGUUCAAUAGUGAAAGACGGUUUUGCUGUCACUUAUAGAUGGAUCCGCGCCGCAUUAGCUAGUUGGUAAGGUAACGGCUUACCAAGGCGACGAUGCGUAGCCGACCUGAGAGGGUGAUCGGCCACACUGGAACUGAGACACGGUCCAGACUCCUACGGGAGGCAGCAGUAGGGAAUCUUCCGCAAUGGGCGAAAGCCUGACGGAGCAACGCCGCGUGAGUGAUGAAGGUCUUCGGAUCGUAAAACUCUGUUAUUAGGGAAGAACAAAUGUGUAAGUAACUAUGCACGUCUUGACGGUACCUAAUCAGAAAGCCACGGCUAACUACGUG